GAUGAACGCUGGCGGCGUGCCUAAUACAUGCAAGUCGAGCGAAUGGAUUAAGAGCUUGCUCUUAUGAAGUUAGCGGCGGACGGGUGAGUAACACGUGGGUAACCUGCCCAUAAGACUGGGAUAACUCCGGGAAACCGGGGCCAAUACCGGAUAACAUUUUGAAACGCAUGGUUCGAAAUUGAAAGGCGGCUUCGGCUUUCACUUAUGGAUGGACCCGUGUCGCAGUAGGUAGUUGGUGAGGUAACGGCUCACCAAGGCAACGAUGCGUAGCCGACCUGAGAGGGUGAUCGGCCACACUGGGACUGAGACACGGCCCAGACUCCUACGGGAGGCAGCAGUAGGGAAUCUUCCGCAAUGGACGAAAGUCUGACGGAGCAACGCCGCGUGAGUGAUGAAGGCUUUCGGGUCGUAAAACUCUGUCGUUAGGGAAGAACAAGUGCUAGUUGAAUAAGCUGGCACCUUGACGAUACCUAACCAGAAAGCCACGGCUAACUACGUGCCAGCCGCCGCCGUAA
rnacentral:rRNA from 1 species